rnacentral:rRNA from 1 species
CAGUAGCCGCGGUAAUACGUAGGUCCCGAGCGUUGUCCGGAUUUACUGGGCGUAAAGCGAGCGCAGGCGGUUUGAUAAGUCUGAAGUUAAAGGCUGUGGCUCAACCAUAGUUCGCUUUGGAAACUGUCAAACUUGAGUGCAGAAGGGGAGAGUGGAAUUCCAUGUGUAGCGGUGAAAUGCGUAGAUAUAUGGAGGAACACCGGUGGCGAAAGCGGCUCUCUGGUCUGUAACUGACGCUGAGGCUCGAAAGCGUGGGGAGCGAACAGGAUUAGAUACCCCCGUAGUCCCUGUCUCUUAUACA